ACGGGAGGCAGCAGUAGGGAAUAUUGCACAAUGGGGGAAACCCUGAUGCAGCGACGCCGCGUGAGUGAUUGAAGUAUUUCGGUAUGUAAAGCUCUAUCAGCAGGGAAGAUAAUGACGGUACCUGACUAAGAAGCCCCGGCUAACUACGUGCCAGCAGCCGCGGUAAUACGUAGGGGGCAAGCGUUAUCCGGAUUUACUGGGUGUAAAGGGAGUGUAGGUGGUCUGGUAAGUCAGAUGUGAAAGCCCGCGGCUCAACUGCGGGACUGCAUUUGAAACUAUCAGACUAGAGUGCAGGAGAGGAAAGUGGAAUUCCUAGUGUAGCGGUGAAGUGCGUAGAUAUUAGGAAGAACACCAGUGGCGAAGGCGGCUUUCUGGACUGUAACUGACACUGAGGCUCGAAAGCGUGGGGAGCAAACAGGAUUAGAUACCCUGGUA
rnacentral:rRNA from 1 species